rnacentral:rRNA from 1 species
CAGACUGCGAGUGAUAAGAUCCGUAGUCGAAAGGGAAACAGCCCAGAUCACCAGUUAAGGUCCCAAAAUUCAUGCUAAGUGGAAAAGGAUGUGGAGUUGCGCAGACAACUAGGACGUUGGCUCAGAAGCAGCCAUCAUUCAAAGAGUGCGUAAUAGCUCACUAGUCGAGUGACGCCGCGCCGAAAAUUUACCGGGGCUAAGCAUGAUACCGAAACUGUGGAUGUGCAUUUAUGCACGUGGUAGGAGAGCGUUCUAGCGGCGGUGAAGCAUGACCGAGAGGACAUGUGGAGCUUCUAGA